GUCCCCGGGAGAAGCCAAGAAGGUAUCAGAGUGGUUUGUGGGUUUGGUUUAAAGCUACAGAAAGGAGAGAGCAAGAGAAGAAGAAAAAAGGUAUUUUGCCUGAGGACUUGAAGCUUUUUUUUUUCCCUUUUCCUCCGCAUGACUGACUUUCUCACACUCAGAUUCCCUCCAGCCUGCCAGAGACGUGGUAGCUGCCCUGCCAAGAGCUAUCCUGGGAGGGCUAUUGAACGAGCUUUGAGUAAGUACACACACGGUGGAUUUUCUCCUCCCCUCGGUACCUGCUCUGCACCUGUACAGGGAGCAGUCCCACACAUAUCACCUGAUCACAGCCCUUUCAGGGACCGUGAGAAAAAUAAAGCCCAGGAUAGAAAAGACAUGUUUGUCAUCUCUCCAGGGCUGCAGCCAGCUUCCAGCAGUCCCAGUGCCCAGAAACAGCACAUUCCAGGCCGGCUGUGCAUGCAUGUUUGCUGGGGCGCGUGCCAGGUGGGGGUGCUGGGAAGGGGGGGGCAACUAGAGGUCACCUUUGUAAUGACCACCUUGCUGCCCCCGUUCUCUGGCAUGUGCUGACUGGUAGCUUGAGAACCCUCUACUAGAAUCAGUAUCAUAGUCUUUCUAGAUAGCAGUCUGUAUGUGCUGAUCGCAGAAUUCAUAACCAGGAUUUUUUUUUUUUUACCUAUAAAGCCCCUGAAAUGGAAUUUCAACGUGUGUCUGUAUGUGCAUAUUUAACAGGAGCUUAAUAAAUAUUUUCCAAAUGCAUAAAUGGAUGCAUCACGUUUUCUUUCUCCUGAGAAGAGGGUCCACAGCUUUCAG
rnacentral:lncRNA from 1 species